rnacentral:rRNA from 1 species
CUUAUACACACCGCCCGUCACACCAUGGGAGCGGGUUCUGCCAGAAGUAGUUAGCCUAACCGCAAGGAGGGCGAUUACCACGGCAGGGUUCGUGACUGGGGUG